rnacentral:rRNA from 1 species
UACGUAGGGGGCAAGCGUUGUCCGGAAUCAUUGGGCGUAAAGAGCGUGUAGGCGGCUCGAUAAGUCUGCUGUGAAAGUCCAGGGCUCAACCCUGGAAGGCCGGUGGAAACUGUCGGGCUAGAGUUCGGAAGAGGCAGAGUGGAAUUCCCGGUGUAGCGGUGAAAUGCGCAGAUAUCGGGAAGAACACCCGAUGGCGAAGGCGCUAGCU